AACAAUUAAGCUUAAGGGUAUUGGGGGGGGGGGGGAGAUGAGAAGGAAAUCCUGUAUCUGGCUGUGAAUAAAAGAAGUGAAGCGUUGCAGUGCCUCUGCCAUUGCUUCAGAACUCGUAUUGGUGUGCACACACACACAGGCACAUCUGAAGUUCACCUACCAGGGCUUUUCCUUAGAACUGAGGAUACUGAGGCAGGAGAACACAGAAACAGGGUAACAUGUGAAACAGAGAAAGCAGCUGGGAUUUUCCUUUGCUGUCCUUAGAGAGCAUGCAUCAAAACAAAAAACCAACCCCAAACCUCAACAGCUGUAUUAAAAUGGAUUCCAAAAUCGGAUCUGAUGCUGACCCUCUAAGUCAAAUCAAUCUCAUUUCUAGCAAUAAUUACAGUAUCAGACUGCAUCAACAAAAAAGCCACGUGAAUAAUCCCUCCUCUACAAGGGAUGACAUGGAUUUACACAGUAAAAUCAAGGCUGUGCUGCAGCUGAGGGUUAACUGCUGUUUCAAUUGUGAACCCAUUCUGAGGGUUUAGAGUGAUGGUUUUAAUUGGUGAAAGCUUGGCAUUAAAGCCAGAAGCCCAGACACGAAAAUGUCAUAACUAACAGCAGUCAUAAUAAUAAUUUGUUGUUUUAAAACUAAAGGCCUCAGCCCCACAUUAGCUUCUGCUGCCUUCGAAAUAAGGCUUUUUGAGUUCUCAGUUCCCUCUGAGGGAUAAAACCCCAAACCAAAGCAAACCAACCCCCCAAAACAACCCUCCUGGACUUCCAGAUGUGUUUCCACCUGCAAUUUCCAACCAAUCUCAACCCCAGGUGUUUAAUACAAGCUACUUUUGCUGAUUCUUUGUACCCAGACUGCUGUAAAGCAGCACUUGCAAUUGCAGAAGCUCCAAGUCUGCAGGCAGGUAUACCCUGAGUUCUGCUGUGCUCAGAUCAGAUCUGGAGCCUGCUCCUUCCAUCAGUGUUACAGGAUAACUCGGGUCAGAUACGAGCAGAGCAAACUUAGGGAUCUGGUUCUGCAUCAGCAGUGCACAGACUUGACCAAACAACAGCAGCAACUGAGCUGGAAGAGAACCAGGUCCCACCAAACCUGCCACAGCUCCUCAGUCCUAUUGGGACACAGGCACUUUAGUUACAAGCACUGACUUUCAGCUGUGCUAACCUCACUGGUUUAUUCAGCAAUCAUGUGUUACAUUGCACAGGAUGGGCAAGAGAGCUCUCCUUCUCAGCAUUACAGGGAUAAAAGCUCACUUGUAGCUGCCCUGCCAGCGUUUAUUGACACCUUUGCCCUCGUUUAACUAAAGAAGGGGAGCAAAAGGCCACGGGCUCUUUUCCAAUGAUGUGUUUCAAGCACCAUAAGAGUCAUCAAAUGCGACUGCAAACUACAACGUGUUUUAUUAAGUCCUAAUUAACGUGGGAAAUAUCAGGGGGUUCCCCAGCUUUGCCUUUUUGUAUCAAAAACAACGAGCAAACACUUAAGGCCUCGCCAUUUCUUAGGUUCCAUAAUGAUUUCAUAUGCUGGUUCCUGCAGAUGUAGCCAUGUAUUGCAGACUUUGCAAGAAACAGGAUUUGUUUUCUAAUAACCUGAUCCUACAGCAAGAUCUACAGCAGAAUAUUUCACUGAAGGCCUAAAGCUUUGUAUGGGAACUAUUGAAGCCUGAACCACUGAUUGAGCACCUGGGGAAAGAACCCAGUCAGCACAGGUGAAGGCAAUUCAUGUGUGGGACCAGGAGGGGUGGAUCCUGGCUGCACCUCUCUUAGACCUCAUUUAAGGGCUGACUGCCCCUAGAAAAGGGUCUUUUCCUGGAGGUCUCUGCUUGGUGAAGCUUUCCUCUGUGACCCUGGAAUCUUCUGGUACAGACAAACUGCUGCCAUUAAGAAGGAAGUUGAUAAAAAUGAAUUAAAACAGGCUGAAAUCUCUUCCCGGCCCCCCAGCCGAGGCCGUACCAACGUGAGGGCCACCUCCAGCAUCGGCGCCAGCGCCAGCGUGCCGUGGAACAGCGGGAUGCAGUCGACGA